CAAACACAAGACAAAAGCUCAGCGCACAGAUUCCGGGUACACAUCAAAUCUAAGAUCUAAAGUCCUUGCCUUCUUUCCAUUAAAAAAAAAAAAUUUAGCAACACUCCAAAAUAUUUUUAAAGUACAUUUGAUACAUAGACGCCGGCACAGCUUCCCUGUGGAACCCGGGUAAGGAAUUUCCCUGCAAACCGACACAACCCGAGGAGAGGACAGACAUGCAAGGCAGCGAAGAGGAGGACCACUGACCAUGGCCAGGUAAGGCUGCGCGGUGCACCUGACCAAGGCGGAACCCAGACCUCCGCGGGUAUCCGCUCCUCUGAGCGCAGAAAGGGAUGCUUCCCGGGGCAUGUCCCUCUGGCUCUGGGUUACUCGAGGGGUUCUGGACCCGCCCUCUUUUCUCCAAACAUCAGUCAUUUCCUGGAAAUCAUCCCAGGCACGCAGCGGCCCAUUCAAGUUAAUUAAGCACGUGUCUCUGACACCAACCAGAGCGUGCGCCCUGGCCAAGCCCUGAAGGGGAAGCUCGGGCCGAGGGGUCACGGGCCCUGCCUCCCCGCCCCUGCCGACCUCUCCCGCUCCUCGAAAACCCGGUAAUCCCGGGAAACGGCGGCUUCUGCCAGCGAGCUGGCUGGCUGAGCCCCGGGCAGCCCGGAGCAAGGGAACCAACAGAGCCUGGCGUCGGCCCGGGGUCGACUGAACACCGUCCAUCCUCCCAACACCCGACUCUGCGUCCACCGACUGGACUCAAGGACCCCCUCCCCGACGGAGGAGGGGUAGGCGGCUAGGAAUCCGCAAACCUGCGCGCGUCCUCUCGCCCGCCAACUGCAACCACCACCUGCUCUCUAGGUCCCGCGCCAGCCCCGCCGUCGUGGGUCCCUUACCUUGUGGCUUUUCCCCCCCGGGGGACACCUGACGUUGUUGGAGGCUCCCGCUGUCUGAUUCAUGUCCGGAGGAACUUGGGAACCGAUGCUCUAGAACCUCUCCAAGUUCCUCGGCGCCUGGAGGGUGGCGAGGGGCGCGUCUCCCGGAGGCGAGGUGGGUCCUGGCAGUCCAGCCGUGUCCGGGCGGCGUCCCCUACGCGGCAGGUUUCCGAGGGACCCCUCGCCCAGGGAAGCUGAGCACUGCAAGCCCCGGAGCCGAAGAAGGAGAAGCAGCUGCUGGGAUCCCAGAGGGAGCCGGGCCGGCGCCGGCGGCUCUGAGGGCGCUGUGCCCGGGGCUGCCUUCUCCGGGAAGCAGUCCAGGACUGUCCGGACCUGAGCACCAGCAGAUCCUAAAGGAGCUCCUGGGAGAGGCGAGGAGAGCAUCAAGCUGAAAAGCAACUCUCCAGCUUUACUGACUUGACUUAAAUGAUAUUGGAGGCCGUGUUUUAAGCCAAAUUGCCCUCUGGAGUCUCUACACAGAAAUCUCAUUACUGUGGAAUCUGUGGGGUUUCACUUCCUGGGUACUACUUCAUCAUCUUUCAGGAAGAUUUUGAACAACUAGAAAAAAUUCAAAUCCUGCAGAAGUCGUCACACAAGAAUAUGCUUGAACUCCCUGUGAUUGUGUGUUAAAGGAAGAGGAUAGUCCUUGUGAGGGUGGAGUGGUUGCCUAGGGCAGUUGGGAAUCUGUCCAGAGCUUUGUGGGAAUUCCUUGCUUUUGCAAUUUUUUCCCCCUAAGCUUGGAAGAUAGCAUAAAGGAAUCAGCCUGUUGAACAAAGCAGGCAGUUGUCUGCUUAUAUCAGAUUUAUACCAUUUCUUGAGACUGAGUUGCACUCGGACCUGAAUGCAACUAAGCUCCCAUAUUCCUUCCUCGAACUAAGGACUCUACAGGGGCUGUUGUGAACACCUGGGCUCAAGACACCCACCAAAGCUGAACAGAGACUCGGCCUCAUCA
rnacentral:lncRNA from 1 species